UCUUGCACCUUUUUCCUGGAAUCCAUUCGAGCUUUCUUUUCCAGUACCUUCGCUUCGUCGCCUAAACCCUAAUCCCGGCGACCUCCAUCGACGAUCCUCGAGCUCCGUCCAUGGAUUUCAACAACCCGGCGGCCUUGGAAACCCUCUCCCAGUGGUUCCUCCAGAGCCUGUCUCCAUCCCCCGAGCCCCGACGUGCCGCGGAGUCUUCCCUUUCCGCCGCCGCCGAUCAUCCUGGCUUCCCCAUCGCUCUCCUCCGCCUCGUUGCCGGUUCCUCCAUCGACCAACAGAUCUGCCUGGCCGCCGCGGUUCACUUCAAGAACCUCGUUCGCUCCCGCUGGUCCCCGUCCGAUACCGACCGUCCCGUGAUCCCUCAGCCGGAGAAGGACCAGAUCAAGUCCCUCUUGCUUCCUCUGAUGCUCUCCUCUCCGUCUCCUCUUGUCCGAUCCCAGCUCUCUGAAUCCUUGUCCCUCAUCGCCUCCCAUGAUUUCCCCCAAUCCUGGCCCUCUCUCCUUCCUGACAUAGUCUCUACCCUUCGCUCAUCAACCGAUUACUCGGCGAUCAAUGGCCUACUCGCUGCCGCGAACUCGAUUUUCUUGAAGUUCCGACACUCCUUCGACACCCCAGCUCUCCGCCUGGACCUCAAGUACUGUCUCGAUCUCUUCGCAGCCCCGCUUCUUGAGAUCUUCCUCAAGACCUCUUCUCUCAUCUCCACCACUAUCUCCGGCAAUGGCCAGCCAGAAUCCCUUCGAGCGCCGUUUGAGUCGCAGCGGCUUUGCUGUGAAAUCUUUCUUUCGCUGAACUUCAUUGAUCUUCCCGAGUUUUUCGAGGACCAUAUGCGCGAGUGGAUGUCCGAGUUCCUGGUCUAUCUCACCAAGACCUAUCCUCCAGCAUUGGAGGCUGAUGGGUCGGCGGACGCGCUGCGAGCGGCGGUGUGCGAAAACCUGCAGUUUUACAUGGAGAAGAACGAAGAGGAGUUCAAAGACUACCUCAAGGACUUCGCCUCCGCCGUGUGGAACCUUCUCAUAACCCCCGCCACCUCCCCAUUCCGGGAUCAGCUGACGAUCACUGCCAUUCGGUUCUUGACCAAGGUGAGCACUAGUGUGCACCAUUCUUUGUUUAGUAGCUCCCAGGCGUUGCAGGAGAUCUGCCAAAGUAUAGUCUUUCCCAACGUUAGACUACGUGACGAGGAUGAGGAGCUCUUUGAGAUGAACUACGUUGAGUACAUUAGGCGAGACAUUGAGGGCAGUGACAUUGACACAAGGCGAAGGAUAGCAUGCGAGCUAUUGAAGGGCCUUGCUCUGAAUUACAAGGAGCAGGUGACGGCUCUGGUGUCAAUGCAGAUACAGAACAUGCUGGCACUAUAUGCCGCGAAUCCCGGGGAGAAUUGGAAGGAGAAGGACUCAGCUAUCUAUCUUGUCGUGUCCCUCGCUACUAAAGGGAGCACAGGUCACCUUGUUGAUGUGGAUAGCUUCUUUGCCACCGUGAUUGUGCCUGAGCUCCAGGGGCAGGACGUCAAUGCAUCGUCCAUGCUCAAAGCAGGGGCACUCAAGUUCUUCACGACAUUCCGGGAACAGAUACCUAAGCAAGCUUCAAUGGCGUUGCUUCCUGAUGUGAUUAGAUUCUUGGCAGCAGAGUCAAAUGUGGUGCAUUCUUAUGCUGCCAAUUGUAUUGAGAAGCUUUUGUUGGUGAAAGACAAGGUGCCCGCACCUGCUUCUGGAUUGACUGCGGUGCAUUCUCAUGCACGGUAUGGUCCCUCCGACAUUGACCCUCUUUUACCAUCUCUUCUUACCAAUCUCUUCAAUGCUCUGCAAUUUCCCGAUUCUCAAGAGAACCAGUAUGUCAUGAGGUGCAUUAUGAGAGUGGUUGGGGUUGCCACCGUCGUUGGUGAAGCUGCUGCGGUGUGCAUGGCUCGCCUAGCAUUUGUGCUAGGUGAAGUAUGCAAGAACCCAAAGAACCCUAUCUUCAACCAUUACCUCUUUGAGGCCAUAGCUGCACUGAUUGCAAGGUCUUGUGAGAAGGACCAGUCUCUGAUCUCCUUGUUCGAAGGCAACCUUUUUCCUGUGCUUCAAAAUAUUUUGGUGAAUGACAUUACUGAAUUCUGGCCGUAUGCAUUUCAGAUAUUUGCUCAGCUUGUUGAGACUAGCAAACCACCGCUAUCAGGUAGUUAUAUGCAGCUUUUCCAGGUUCUUCUCUCCCUAGAGUCCUGGAAAAGGUCAGCCAAUGUUCCAGCAUUGGUUCGGUUGCUUCAAGCGUACUUGCAGAAAAUGCCCACUGAGCUAAACCGUGAGGGGAGAUUGAGUCAGGUCCUUGCAAUUUUUAACAAGCUCGUUAUGUCUCCCAGUACUGAAGAAUUGGGCUUCUUUGUGCUCAACACUGUUGUUGAAAACCUCGGCUCUGAUGUCUUAGCACCCUACAUAGGUCACAUAUGGAGUGCCCUGUUUACACGGUUGCAGAUCAGGCGGAAUGUGAAGAAGUUUGUGAAUUCAUUAAUCAUUUUCAUGUCAUUAGUUUUGGUUAAGCAUGGGCCUGGUGUUCUUGUCGACUCUGUUAAUGCUGUUCAGCCAAAUAUAUUCGUAACUAUCCUUCAACAGUUUUGGAUUCCUAAUGUUAAGCUUAUCUCAGGAGUGAUUGAAGUGAAGUUGGCAUCAAUUGCUUCGACUAGGCUUUUGUGUGAAUCACCUAGUCUUUUGGACCCUUCAGCAGCAGAACUCUGGGGGAAGCUGCUUGACAGUAUUAUUACUUUGCUUGCCCAACCAGAGGAGUUCAGAGAGAAUGUUGAAAACGAGCCACCAGUGGUUCCAGAAACCGAGGGAUAUUCUGCAUCUUUUGCACGCCUUCACAAUGCAGGUAAAAAGGAGGAAGAUCCUUUGAAGGAGAUAAGGGAUCCAAAAGAAUUCUUGGUUUCAUCAUUGGCUAGGCUUUCGGCUGCCUCUCCUGGGAGGUAUAGGGCAAGCAUUGAGAAGUUCGUUGAUCCACAAAAUCAAAGUGCUCUUAUCCAGCUUUGUGGUGCUUAUAAUUGCACCAUAGUAUAGGAUUACAGAUCUGGAGGCGGUGGCGUAUCCUUUUUCUCUAGUCAUUGCAUCCGUCAAGUAUAUUGUACAAACGAGUGUGGUUUUGGCGGCAUCUGAAUUUCUGAGGUUCCCAGUUGCUGUUUGUUUCUCGCAGUUAAAAGCUAUGAAGCUUUCAUCUCCAUUUAGGUUCUACCUCAGUGGUUUACCGUUUACCUGAUGCAUGUGCUUCUUAAGCAAACAUGAGCUGCAUUUUGUGUGGGGAUGAGGUUGUUCAUUUCCCUGGAUUUUGUCGGCAUUUUCAUUGGGUUAAUACUGUUCUUCAUUAGAAGUUUUCUCUACAUGGCCAUGCUUGAUGAAUGUUGGGCAACAGUUGUUUGUGAGUUCUUGUUUCAGCAAUGAAGUCUUUAUUAGUAUCCUGGAAAUGUGAAAGUUGAAAGUUGUUGUCAAGCCAGUUGUCAAGUCUGUUAAUGACAUUUUGAAGUUCACAGAAGUAUUCAAAUUUUCUAUCA